UUUUUUUUUUUUUUGUUGUUGCUGUUAAUGAGCUAGUUUUAUCAUUUAGUAGGGGUAGGUUAACAAUUCAAAUUGCAUGUUAAAUGGCAUUUUUAAUCAGCAAAAGUAAGAGUAGCAAUAAUGUAUGUAUUCAUCUCUCCCUAAUUUGUUGAAAAGGAAAAAGCAGAGUAUAUUGGGUCGUCGGAGCAGCCAUUUUUCUCUUAUCUGCCUAUAAACGGACGAAAUCUCAGCUGGCAAAGAUUCCAUCUUUGUCCCUCUAGGGAGGUUGGGGGGGUGGGUGGGGUGGGUGAGUGAAUAGUGAUGCUUCUUUCUCUUUACCCUUGUUGAUCUUGCUCCAUCCCUCUCUGUUUCUCCACUUAUUCUCUCACUUUACCAUCACCAUGACUUCUUUCUUUUCCUUUUUAUUAGUAAUUGUUAAUUAAAUUAAUUCCCCAAUUCUAAUUACUCGGAAUUAUGGGGUGCGCAACCUCUAAGCAUGAUGACUUGCCGGCGGUCGCUCUAUGCCGUGAACGUUGCGCCUUUUUAGACCAAGCUAUUCACCACCGUUACGCUUUUGCCGAAGCCCAUGUAGCUUAUCUUCACUCAUUGAAAUCCGUCGGCGCUUCUCUUCACCGGUUUUUCCAACAUGAUCUCGAUCUUUCUUCUUCAUCAUCUGGUAGUCCUCUCUCUCCGCUUCUCCAUCUCCCCGCUCAUCGGAAAGGUCACCUUCCAGAACCUUCCUCUGCCCUUCCUCAUCCAGUUAAAAAACCUGCUGCUCCCAUUCACCACCCUCACGAUUCUCACUCUAGUUCCGGUUCGCACCUUCACUUCCACUCUGAAUCCGACGAAGACGAUGAUUCCGGUUCCGAGUCUUUGCAUCACCAUACGGAAACCCCUACUCAUGGUAAUCAGUAUGGUCAGUUCACUUAUGCUGAUCAUGAAACCCUAGGGUUCGGAGCACCACCAUAUCAAGUUGGUGGGGGUGGGGGUGGGGGGUUCGGACCACCAUAUCAAGUCGCUGGAGGUGGUGGAUUCGGACCACCAUAUCAAGUCGCUGGGGGUGGUGGGUUCGGGCCACCGUAUCAAGUCGGCGAGGCUGGUGGUGGGUUCGGAGCACCAUAUCAAGUUGGUGGUGGUGGUGGUGGGUUCGGGGCACCAUAUCAAGUUGGUGGUGGUGGGUUCGGCGCACCAUAUCAAGUCGGUGGGGGUGGUGGAGGGUUUAUGCAUAUGAAUUUCAUGAGGAAACAAACGACGCCCUCGGUGACCUAUCAUCAACGACCCAUAAGUCCGGAGACUGUUCGAAUGGGUGAAGCGUCUUCUUCCUAUUAUCCUUAUCCCAAUAGUAACAAUCCUAAUUCUUACAACAACUAUCCGAAUUAUCCCAAUUACGCUGGCGAUUUUUUUUCCUCUUCGAUUCAAAGGCCGUACGGUGUUUCAUCUCCCCCGGCGCCGUCUGGAGCUGGGCCUUCAUCAGCGCCGUCAACUUCAAAACCACCUCCCCCGCCGCCCUCUCCACCGAGGACCUCACCUUGGGAUUUUCUGAACCCUUUUGAGACUUUUGAGAGUAAUAAUUACCCUACACCGUAUACGCCAAGCCGAGACUCGAGAGAGGUUAGGGAAGAAGAAGGUAUCCCUGAUUUGGAAGACGAGGAUUUUGAGCACGAGGUUGUUAAGGAAGUUCACGGACAUCAGAAGUUUGUCGAAGGCGAAAGCGAAAGCGAAGGCCACGGAGGGAACCAUUCAAAAGCAGUGGCAGAGGAGGAGAGAGAGAAGCAAAGUGAUUCGGAGUCGCUAUACCAUGGGAGGCCAAGUGCGUCAAUGGAAAAUGAGCAGGUGGAGUUUGAGGUACACGUUGUGGAUAAGAAAGUGGUAGAUGAGGAAGGAAAGUCAGGGCAUGGGGGAAAUGUUGCUGGGUUCAAAGCUCGUGCAUUCAAGGACGACUCUGAUGUUGUGAAAGAGAUUCAGGUUCAGUUUGAGCUAGCUUCUGAAUCUGGAAAUGAGCUAGCUAAGAUGCUGGAGGUUGGAAAGCUUCCCCACAAUCGUAAGAACGCCACAUAUCAAGGUACUUAGUUGUGAUCUCAAGUUUUGGUUUUUAUGCCUUCCACAUAUCUAGGUACUUCAUUGUGAUAUCAAAUUAUGAUUUUUUUUGUAUUCAUCAUUAUGCUCGAGAGCUUUGCAGAUGAGGAUACUGUUCUAUUUGUGAAUGAAGUCUAAGUCUAGCUGUUGCAUAGUAUACUGGACAUGUUAAUAAUUUGAUUUUAAGGCUGUCUCAGUUGAUUUUUAACUUCUAUUUUUUGGGAUUUCAUGGGGACAGUGUCUUCCAAGAUGUUGCAUGCAAUUUCACCUUCAUUGUCCGUAGUAUCAUCACAACCUUCUACGUCAAAGAAUGCUGCGAUUCAGAUUAAUGAUCCUGCUGCUUCAGAUGUUGAAGGAGAUGUUAGUUCAAGGUACAAGAACCUUUCUUCAACGUUAAACAAGCUGUACCUCUGGGAGAAGAAACUGUAUCAGGAGGUUAAGGUAUUAUUUUGUUUUGUAGGUUGUCUAUUUUUUUUCACUGUUCACUAGAUACAUACUUUGGACGACUUCUUCUUUUUGGAGGGCAGUAGUUUUUUUGUUCAGUAGCUCAAGUGAUUGGAGGUUUCAAAAUAAAUUCUUCCUCAUCUGUGAUUAUUGUCUCAAUACAUCUCUUGGUGUGGCUUGCAAGUGGUAAUCAAGUGGUUUAAUUGGUAGUUGGCAUUCAAUUCAUUUGAAGCUUUAUGGACAAUCUCAAAAAAUCUGUCUGAUAAUUCAGAUUUGCAAAUGCAAUACAUCUGAACUUGUUACAAUCUACUGUUAUUUGCUAAUUUUGAAUCUUAACAGAAAUGGUCUGUAAACUUCUGUGGCUAGUGUUGCUUGUAUUUUGCUUGUAUUUUCUCUUCCUGGGAACUUUUGUAGAAGACAUUUCCUCUGCAGAGGAUUUGAAGCUUAUGGUUUCCCAAAAAGGAGCCUGUUUGGAUUGACUUAUUUUAAGUGCUUUUAAGCCAAAAUAACUUUAUUAACACUUGUGUGGUGUUUGGGUAAAAUAAGAAAGUGCUUUUAAGCACCUUUUUCAAGCCAAAAAGACAAAAAUAAGCUAAAAACCAUAAGUCAAAAGUCCUAACUUAUGAGUCAAAAAUAAGUUUUCAUUUUCAUUCUCAAAAAAAAAACUUAUGAGUCAAAAGCUAUAAGCCCAUCCAAAUAGGGGAUCUAGAUCUGCUUAUCGGUUGAUUCGAUUCAAUUAUAGAUGUUAUCGGUUCUCGAUAAUCGAACCAAUAAGAUAUCCAUCAUCGGUUAACUGGUUUGUAGUGCUCAAAGAUUUGUUAUCGGUUUAAACGAUAAUAAAAUGUCUACUAGGUGUCAACCGUUCAGUUAUCAAUUAACUGAUAAACUGGUAUCAAUAACCUAUAACAUUUUUAUGGUUCAAUUCAUCGGUUAAACCAAAAUUUGCACACUCCUAUUUCUAGCAAUUUCAAAUUAACAUACAAUAGUUACUGAAUAAAGUACUGGAUGUUCAAUAUAUAUUUAAAAAGUAAUAAACUGUGAUAUAUCAUGACAAUAGUUAGAAAAAUUAAGAGAAAUUUUAUUUUAAUAUAAGAGGAAAAUAAAGAACGAGGAAGAAGAAUGAAGGACUUGACUAUGGCUAGGCAACAUCAAAAUGGAAGAAACUAACAACAAUAUUUUUUAUUUUUUUUUAUGACAAGGGAAACCCGCAACCGCUACCCUUUGGGUGCACACAGGGUAAAACCCCCGCUCCUAUGCAAUAGCUCGCAAACCACGUAGGAGAGGUAACUGGCACUAGGCAAGCCUGGUGCGACGAGCUCGACCCAGAAGGCAAACCCCUUGCUUUCGCUGGCAAGGGGUUUCGAACACCUCCAACAUGGAAGUCCCAAGCCCAAACCCCUGGGCCACCACGAAGGGUACUAACAACAAUAUUUAGAACCCUAAGUUUUACUUACUUUUCAUUUUCUCUUUAAUUUCAAAAUUAAUUUGAAAAAUUGAGUGAUACUUUCAGCGAGUUCUAAAUUUUGUUGUGAUAUCUUUUGUGUUUGGCCAUUGUGGGCAUUAAAAAGAAAAAAAGAAAAAAAAAUGAGGACAACUUUUUUUUCUUUUUUAAAAGAGUGAAAUAAAAUGUGACCAGCGGAAUGGAUCCCUGGUUCAAAACUGGGCAAAGAUUCAGCUGGUUCCUCAUUCUCCACUGAGCUAACAACAGAACUUACGGCUGGGUUCCCUACUCCAUUUUGUGUUAUAUUUAAAGGGUUUUACAUUAUAAAUACAAGGUUUUACAUUAUAAAUACUGGUUUCCGGGAACCCACAUGGGAAACUGUAGAUCUGCCCCUGCUCCUCUGUCCCCUUCGGUUUGUCAUGGAUAACCUUGCUUGUUAGUUUUGUUGGGCCUUAAAGAGUACUUUUUUCUCUCUCUCCCUUUCUUGCAAUUGGAAUGUGAAAAUGUCUCCCCUUCGAUCAUGUCAUCCCCAUGAGACAAAGGUUGCUGUAGUGUGGUGGUGUAAUUCACAUUAAUCUUAAACAUAUGCGAAACUAGUAUUGACAGUGUUCCUGUGAUAUAAUACUUUCAUUUGCUUAUUGUGGCUGUUUUGCAGUCUGAGGAGAAGAUAAGGGUGCUUCAUGAAAGGAAAUCUGAAAAGCUGAAGAGAUUAGAUCAAAAGGGUGCUGAGGCUCACAAGGUUGACAUGACAAGGCAAUUGGUUAGAAGUCUCUCCACAAAAAUUAGAAUUGCGAUUCAGGUUGUCGAUAAGAUCUCUGAGAAGAUAAACAAGAUGAGGGAUGAAGAGUUAUGGCCGCAACUGAAUAUACUUAUUCAGGGGUAUGUCUUUUUUCUGAGUCUCUUUUUUGAUAACCUGUGUUUUUUCUGAAUCUUCUGGAUUAAAUGGAUACCUUAUGUUUAAUGAUAUAUAAAAGAACUCUCUGUCUGGAUUGGCUAUCAUUAGAUUUCUGUAGAUGCACUAGAUGGAAGAGAAAAAGUAUUGGUUUGCCACAUUUUUAUUACUGUUUCUGAUUUGUAGUCCAAGGUUAUUGUAAUGACAUCAUUGUACGCCUCCAAGCUACUGCACCAUCUAAAGUCUUGUCUAUUGAUCUCCCUGAAUGAUUUCAAGAAAUUGAUUUGGAUUCAAAUGUGAUGUUCUUUUUUCGUGUAUCAUUCCUGUGGCCGACAACCUGUAGAGAUUAAACGUUUUAUAACUUUCUUGUGAUGAGUUUGUCAAGUACUUUUGUACUAAAGUGUUCUACCUCAAUAACUGCUUAAAACUUUUACAUUAGCAAUAUGGUAAUUGCAUAAAUCUGUUCUUUAUGCAAAAUUCAAGUUGGCUUGUUUAUUCCUAGUUUUGAGGGAUUAGAGAAUGGUUUGUAAUCUGAGAAACAUCCUUUUAAUCCUAGUUUCUUUUGACACAUACAUGGUUCCAAUUGGUAUAGAAGAUUAGGUUUCUUUCAUUGAAAUUUAUGUAUUUUUGUAGGUCUUCUACUCUUCGGUAUACCACUUGUAUAGGCGAGGUUUCUCGUGCUCCCAGCUUUAUUGAACGUAUUAGACUCACUUUUUUUUAAAAAAAAAGUUGGCUUGUUUAUUAGGAUGUGGAAGCUAUGACCUACAUAUUCAGCCUUUACAAACACACAUUAUACUGUAUUAUUAGAAAGUCAAGGGUGGAUGAAUGUAUAGCUGCUUGUGAAAUGUGAGACUCCUGAAGAGGAUUCUUGCUUUCACUAAAAACUGAAUGCAAUAUCUGGAGUUGCGAAAUCAUCAGUCAGUUACAGCUGGGCAAUAUAUUGUGGGAUGCUUGGAUUUAUCUUGAUAUAAUGUCUAUUCCUAGUACUGUCGGAUUGUUAGAGAUUUUUCAGCUGAACUUUUAUCUCCUUUAGGCCAAUAUAGUUAUCUAAUGCAACUUUCUCCUUAUGUGGAUUCUCUAUUUAGGUUAAGUAAAAUGUGGAAAGGCAUGCUUGAGUGUCAUCGUAACCAAUGCCAGGCUAUUGGAGAAGCCAAAAGAUUAGAUGCCAUUGCAUCUCACAAACACUUGAGUGAUGCUCAUCUUGAAGCCACUCUGCAGCUUGAACAUGAGCUUUUGAACUGGACUUUGAGAUUCUCUUGCUGGGUGAAUGCACAGAAGGGCUAUGUGAGAGCACUAAACACCUGGCUCAUGAAAUGUCUUCUGUAUGUGCCCGAGGAAACAGCCGAUGGAAGAGUUCCCUUUUCUCCAGGCAGAAUUGGUGCUCCCCCAAUUUUUGUCAUCUGUAAUCAGUGGUCACAAACCAUAGAAGGAGUUUCUGAGAAAGAGGUUGUUGACUGUAUGCGAGAUUUCGCAUCAAAUGUCCUUCAGCUCUGGGAGCGAGAUAAACAUGAAAUGCGGCAAAGGAUGAUGGUGCACAAGGAUAUGGAGAGAAAAGUGAAAAACCUUGAGAGGGAGGAUCAGAAGAUACAAAAGGGGAUUCAUGCACUGGACAAAAGAAUAGUACUCAUUUCUGGGGAUGAAACUGGUCUCUCAUUAAAUAGGCAUGUCGUUUACCAGAGUGACACAAGCAAAAAUAGUAGCCUUCAGGUCGGUCUGAGACAUAUUUUUGAGGCCAUGGAAAGGUUUACUGCCAAAUCCUUGAAGGUGUAUGAGGAACUUCUACAACGCAUUGAAGAGGAUGAUCUGGCUUAAAGAGCAUGAGAAAUUGGUAUAGCACUACCUUGAGAAGGUUAUGUCUUCUGGGUGCCUGUUAUUAUGGUACUGUUGGAAGUUAUUGAACAGAGGACAAUGUGAAAUGGAGCAACAGAAACCUUGUUGUCUUUCUCUGCUCUUGCUGUAGCAUCAUCAUAGCUUGAUCAGUUUUAGUUUGGAAGCAGGGUUUAUGGCAGAGGUAAUUCCUGAAAUAAGGGGAUUAAAUACCCUAGGAUAGGCACCAAUCCUCAAGUAACUAAUGUGCUUACCAGAGGGGACCUGAGCUAGUGGAGAUGUAUAUAUAUUAUGAAAUGCUAUGACUACCUUGGCGCUAAAUGGGAGUAUUUAUGGUUGGAGACAUUAUGACAUGCUACGACUACCUUGGCGCUAAGUGGCAUGGUGGUUGUUCACCCCAUUGGCACCAUUGAGGCUUGAAGUGGUGGCCAGCCAGUCCCUGUGGCAAGUUUGGUAGCUACCGAUGGACUAAGUUGAGCCAGACUGAGGACUCCGUGCUCCUGGAGCUGCUAUUGGGUUUGAUAUUUUGAGAAAAUGAUUGUUAGAGAUAGAUAUAUGAGCUACGGCAGGCCAUGUUCAUGUACAGAUGGACAGUACUCUUGUGAUAAUUGCAAAUAAGCGAAGUAGGGGUGGCAUCUCUAAACCAUCUAAGGGAAAAAAGAAGAAGCAUGAAGAGUUGUUCGUUCAUGGGCGUUUUUCAGUUGGAUUGAUGAGGAGAAGCUGUUUGGUAACGCAAGUCAUUGAUACUGCUGGUUGCGUGGCACCAGACCUGGCUGAGAACAGAGAGAUGAUACUUGUAACUUGUAAGUAAGUUGUAUUCAGAUUGUUCUAUAAAAUUCUGAUAAUAAUCUGUAUCUUAAAUUUUGUGUAUAUAGGACUGGAUAUAUAUAUAUAUAUAUUAUGAUAGAUAUAUAGUGCAUUCUAUCCGACGGUAGGACCCAGUAAUAGUAAUAACAUUUUGCAAUACUGUUCAAAUUUAUUGAUUUGAGUCAUCUGCCGAUUCUGUCUUAAAUUUAUCAAAACCUCAAACAUAACGUUCUGCAGGUGUUGCAAACUCUUUUUACUAGGAUCACAAUGUGCAUGUAACAAACACGGUUAUUUUGACUACUGUUAGAUUAAUCAGUAAACAUCAACGAAUAAAAAGGCUAUCAUUUAAAGAUGAAUAAAAUUUAACGAGUGUACUCAACACGAUAGGUAAUUAAGACAAUAACUAGUCAGACAAUGGAGUCCAAUCUUUUAUAAUCAUAGGGACUGGCGAGCAUGACGAGUUGGGACUUCAUCUUCACUGGUGUACAGAGGCCUUGCUGUCAUGGUGGAGUUGUUAACCUGGGCACCCAGUAUGGAUGUAAUAGUUGCAAAAAUAACAUGUCCCGUCUACCUUCUCUUUUCUAACAAAGAACGAAAUAGGCAAUCACCAACUCCAUGCAAAAAAAAAAAAACAUAACACGGAAAAAGAAAAUGAUGAUACAGAUUUAAUUAUUGUUACAAGUAGUAUAAUCUUAUCACUACAUGAAUGAGAGAGGGAUUCUCACCCUAUAUACUUUUUCGAGGUAGGAAACGCAGUCUUUAAGAAACCCAAAUUCAAAGCCAUGAUUUUACAACUACUUUAAAGAGAUAUUGUUUCAUAAUAUUUUUCUUUGUAGCAUAAUAAAUGAUUUAGAACUUUAAAGGUGAUUCUAGUUAAGGUUGAUGAGAAUUUACCCUCUUGGUUCUUCUUCUACAGUAUACAUUGUAUAUAAUUACACGAAUAUCUUUUAAUUUUGGACGGAAUUCACAAGUAUUAUGUAUUAUAGAAAAGAAUUGUAAAUAAAAAUAUGUAAUCCAAUGAAUUAGUAAUAUAGUAUGAAAAAAUAGUGACCAACGAAUUUAUUUUGUAACUUGAGUGAUAGUAGAGGCACUCGCCAAGGCCUUUUUUUUUAAAGAAAAAAUGGCAGUGAGAACAAAAACCAAACACCUCUCGUGCGCCAAAACCAUCCGCCGCCUCCGGCAUCAGCCCCGCCACUGCCUCCGUAAAGAAGGUACUCAUUCUCUUCUCAAGGAAGAUCCGUUGGAAAUCCUGUCUAAUCUGUGGAUCAAAACUUUCUCUCAACCCCAAAAACCCUUCACUAACCUCACUGGCUUUCUCUCAAAACUCGAUCUCUGGAUCCUCGCUUACCAACGCACAUAUGCUCAUCUCACUGGUUCUUUCCCCCCUCGGAAUGCUAUCCAAUCCCAUGUUCUAUCCGACCUCUUAUCCCUCCGGAAUACAGUUAUCCGUGGAAAAUUCCUUUGGCAUACAAAAAUCCAUCAAUAUAUUCGUGGCCCUAAUGAAAAACCCAUUACUGAGCAGCUUUCCAGGAGUCAGCUCCAAUCUAUACUCACAUCCAAAACGCCGCCCUUUCAGGAUGUUGUGGUACAACAAGCUUUACUUAUGAUAUUUGAACCCAUUUUUGAGCCUAGGUUUUCAUCAAAGUCCCAUGCUUUUCGCCCUGGAAGGAAUCCCCAUACUGUUAUUAGGACCAUUAGAAGUAAUUUUGCUGGUUAUUUGUGGUUUCUGAAAGGUGAUAUUAGUGAGGUUUUUGAUAAUGUUGAUGUUGAUGUCGUUAUGGCUACUCUUGAAAAGGCUAUCAAGGAUAAGAAGGUGUUGAACUUAAUAAAGUCGGGGUUGAAAGCUCAUCGACGUGGAGAGGAGGGUGAAGAAGAAGAAGAAAAAGAUAGCAGGAAGAGAAAGAAGGGGCGGACAAAAAAGAGGAUUUUAAAUGAGAAUGAGCCCAAGCCAGAUCCUUAUUGGUUAAGGACAUUCUUUGAGUUUGCUCCGCAGGAGGCUUCUAAGAUACCCAAUUAUGGUGGUUGUGGAAUUCUAAGUCCUUUGUUGGCUAAUGUAUGUCUUAAUGAGCUUGAUCAUAUGAUGGAACAGAAAAUAGUUGAGUUUUUUAGGCCGUGUGAGCGAGACACGAUAUGGAAAUAUUCUAUGGAUGAUGGUUGUCAUAAUCCUGCUUGGCCUGAGUUUGUUCCUUCAAGUGGAAAAGAGAAGACGAGGAAGAUGGAUUUUAUAAGGUUUGGGGGUCAUUUCUUGGUUGGGAUUCGAGGGCCUAGACAAGAUGCCGUGGAAAUGAGGAAAGAGAUAAUUGAAUUUUGUGAGAGAAUUUUUGGGGUCAGGUUGGACAAUUCAAAAAUAGAGAUUGAGCAUAUUUCUAGGGGAAUUCAGUUCCUGGAUCAUAUUAUUUGUCGUCGUGUUAUUUAUCCAACUCUACGUUACACAGCCAGUGGUGGUAAUAUAGUGAGUGAGAAAGGUGUAGGUACUUUGCUUUCAGUCUCUGCUAGCUUGCAACAAUGUAUCCACCAGUUUCGAAAGCUCAAGCUUGUGAAAGGUGAUAGGGAUCCUGAGCCACUGCCUUGCACACCUAUGCUUUACUCUGGUCAAGCUCACACUAAUUCUCAAAUGAACAAAUUCCUUGAGACAAUGGCUGAUUGGUUCAGAUAUGCAGAUAAUCGGAGAAAAGUUGUUGGCUUUUGUGCAUAUGUGGUUCGUAGCUCUCUGGCUAAGUUAUAUGCUGCCAGGUAUAGGCUGAAAUCUCGUGCCAAGGUUUAUAAGAUUGCCUCGCGUGAUUUAAGCUGUCCAUUGAGGGAGCACACCAACAAUUCUGCACCUGAGUAUUCAGAUCUUUUGAGGAUGGGACUUGUUGAUGCUAUUGAAGGUGUUCGGUUUUCCCACAUGUCCUCAAUCCCGUCAUGUGAUUACACUCCAUUUCCAAGGAAUUGGAUCCCUGAUCAUGAGAAGGUGUUGCAUGAGUAUAUCAACUUACAGGACCCCAAGUUUUUCUACCAGCUGCACAAGUCAGUUAAACAGCAUGGUAUGUGUUUUCCUCAAGAUGAGAUAUCUCAUAUUGUGUGGCAGUAUAAGACUCUUGGGGUGCGAAACUUGUCGCAGAGGUUACGUGAUGACAAGGGGAUGGAAAAUGCUUAUGAGAAAGUAAUGGUGGCAUCAUCAUGAACGUGGCAUGAAAUGUGAAAGUUUAUCAACAUAUAUUGCUAUUGAUGGUGCCAACUGACUUCUUAUUUUUCUGAAGCUAGAUGAUCAAUGUCUAUCUUGAUGGAUGAUAUUAAAGUUGGAAGUUGAUCUUAUUUAACAAUCCUGGUGAGCAGAUUAAGCUCGAUUACAGUGAACAGAUUCCCUUAUAAAGCUUUUUCAGUAGAGAACUAAAGAUUAAAUUUGUCAAUACAGAUUUAUGAGACCAUUUUUAGUACGUCUUUUUGUAAAAUUCUCUUCUUAUGGUUGAGACCUGUGAGGAAUAACUGCUCCAAUAAGCAUCUAUAAUUUGGAUGAGUUUCUGAAAGGAAUAAAUUAUUGACACCAACAUAUGUGCUUUUAGCUUUAGACUAAAACACUCGCCAUCUCCACGCCCCCUACCGCAAGAAUAAUAGCUUUUUUUAAUUGCAUAUAUAAGUUGGAUGAGUUCCAUCAGAAACUUACAUUCUUAACACUUCAGAGAUCUUUUAGCUUCUUCCUUAAACCCUAGCCUGCACAUAUAUUCCCCCAUGGAAACUGUGUGAUCUGCUGCAGCAAUGGGAUGAAGUCAUGUCACUCCAAAGCUGAACUGAAGUUAUGGCUAUGACGUGAUAGCUCAUAAGUUCUGCUGAAAUAAAUGUAGCCAACAAAAUAAAAGUUGCAUUCCUGGUAUUUUGCUGCAGAAGAAAAGAUGUUCAUCUUCAGCUCCAUAUACCCAUAUAUAGUAAACAGAGAGCUUGAGGACUGCCUGCAUAUUUUCUGAAGACGAAUGAAUAGUAAGCUGUGUGAAUGCUUCCACAAACAAUGGCUCCUCGCUCUUACUUGGGCAUUUUUCAGUUGGAUCGAGACUACACUAGUGGAACGUGAGAAGAGGCUGUUCGGUGAUGCAAGUCAUUGAAGCUGCUGAUUGCCUGGGAAAAGACCUGCCUGAGAAGAGAGAUAUAAUACUCGUAAGUUAGUUGUAUUCAGAUUGUUGUACAUGGCCUUGUUCUUUAAAUUCUGAUAAUAAUCUGUAUCUUAAUUAUGUGUAUAUAGGACUGGAUAGAUGACCCAAAUACAUUUUUAUGAUAAAUAUACGGUGCAUUUUAUCCGACAUGGGACCAGUAAUAACAAUAUCAGCGCAGUAUAACAUUUUGCAAUGUUCAAAUUUGUUGAUUGAGUCAUUAUUCAUCACAUCUGCCUAUUCUAUCUUAAAUUUAUCAAAACCCAUCUGUCAGAUACACACUUUCACAAAUGAUGUUGCGGAUUUGUGAAGUAUUGGGGUGAAGUGAUUAGUAAGGACAUGGCGCAGUCUUGGCUCACCGAGGAUAUGACCUUGACAGGAGGGUGUGGAGGUCGAGGAUUAGGAUAGAAGGUUAGUAGAUAGUCGAGUGCUUUGUUUUCCCAUUUCUGGAGAACUAGUAUUAGUCUUGUAUUUUCGUAUUCUUAGAUUUCUAUUUCUGUUUCUAUUUGUUGAUUCUUUAGCCUUGAUUAUUGUAUUUUCAAGUUGCUCUUCCUGCUUGUUACUGCUAUACUCUUUUUCAUCUGGUUUGAGCCAAGGGUCUAUCGCAAACAACCUCUCUUCCUUUUAUGGUUGCUGUAAGGUCUGUGUACACACUACCCCACUUGUGGGAUUACAGUAGGUACGUUGUUGUUGUUGUAUUAAAGUAGUGCACAGAUCAAUUUUUCUUUGUUCUUUUGAACUGAACAAUCCAACAUCAUUUUGGGCCGUUGAUUUACUUAAAAGCAACCAGAAUGCUAGACAAUUGUCUAAAGCCUCAAACAUAACCUACGUUCUGUAGGUGUGCUUUUUUUGGGUCAAAAAGAACAAAUUUUCAUUACUUAAAGCAAAACAAAUACAGGGAGUUGACAGCUCACAGGGUGUAGCAGCAGACUUUGUUACGCAGUAUAGUAGAAGAAAGAGUAAAGGGCAUUGUAGUGUUGUAGGCUGCACUUCAUGCGUUGUCAGCUAUACUAUCUGGCAUUGGGUUACAAAAGUUAGUGCCUGUUCUAUCUACUUCUGCUUCACUCAUGUGACUGGCAAAAGACGGUGUAGAAUAAAAAAGAGUGAGAUUGAGCAGUGCAUCGUUGUUAGCUCCAGGCAUGGCUAGGCUAUCCGCUACUUGAUUUUGCUCCCUGAGGCUCAUGCUGCUGUUGAAUUGCGGACCUGCAAUCAUACAAAAUAUUAACAUAUUUUGCAUUAGGUGAUGUCAACAGUGUAUCUCUUUUGCAUCUUGGAGUGAUGUAAUGAACCGGGCUUAUAGCUAAGUCGAACACAGACAAUUGUAUCCGUUAUUAUAUUUAACCCGCUGCAAGAAAGAUGAUUCGUUUGGUUUCAUGCCAUUUUAGUUAAUUGUAAUCUUGUAGAACCAAGAGUAACCCUUAAGGGAAACUGGUAUGAUCAUCAUUUUCCAUAUCCAAAAUACCAACUUGUAUACCAUCAUUAACAUCAAUGCAUACUAAUGAAUCUAUAGCAACUACUUGCUACUUUUAUACAUUCUAUAUUGACUAAAAAAAAAAAACUUUUUAAUGCGUGAGACUUUUUUAUAAUGGAAAAUGGUCAGAUUUGUCUUUAAACCAUACAAAAAUGGACUAAAUUUGCCCUCUUCUAACCCUCAGCACCUCCAACAGCCACUGCUCCAUCACCCGAGCUCUAACUUACCACUCUUAUGUUUAAAAAUAUUGAUCUGUACGUGUCCUUUUUUUCAUCAAACAAUUUGGCAAAAUAAACGGAUCUUGACACCUUUAGAGACAAUUGGAAUCUUGGCAACUAUAGUAUCAUUAAAUUACACGUGUGAUUUAGAAUUACAUGUAUUGUCAUUACUCAUUACAUUAGUUUGUUGAUCCUCUAUGGGAGGCAAAUUAGGAUUACAUGUACAUUUAAUUUCUACAUUUCACGUCGUCUCAAAAUAUGGGAUGAGUUUUCACGAACAAAUUAAUAGACAUGCUGAGAAGAUGCAACAAUGGAUAAAAAAAAAAUAUAACUGUAGUACAUCUAAGAAAUUUAAAAUUUUGAUGGCUGUAAAAAUUUUUGGUGUCGACAAUGGAGCUAGGGUCCGUCUGAUUUAGAUUAAAGGCUUAAAAUUCUUCUUCCAGGAUCUUAGUGUUGAUUUUUGAGAUUUAUCAACUACAAUUGUUUUGCUGGUUAGACAUAUUCCAGUUUCUUGUUUCCCACAUACUAAUCUUCAGCUUAUUUAGCAGAACAGCUGGCAGUUGUCAAGAUUGUUGUUGUCUCUAGGAGUUAUCAAGGGAUACCUAGCACACAAACAUCGCCUAAGUGGUAGCUUGAUAUAACUCUAUCAUCCAUGUGCUGGAAAAGAGUGUCUCAUUGCAUUAAGAUAGGCUUUUCUUGGCUUGAAGAGGCAGAAGAGCUGUCAAUUUUCUUUUUGGUAGGAGGAGGCAUGCCACAAACAUCGCCUAGAAUAACUAAGUUGCCUGUUAGAUCUAGAUCCAACUCAGGUCCCUAUUCUCUACUUAUAUAUAUAUGAAACAAAAGCCAGAAAAAAAAGUAGUACAACUUGAGAACAUAGAAUUGGACCUUUCAAUUCAACAAGAAAAAACAAAUGGCUCCUCCCUCACCUUUGAGAUCAAAAACCACCCUAAAGCAUGCUCGUUCUAGCAGCUUUCCCUCUACAUCUCACCCUAUUAUAUCUCAAUUCGAUGAGCAACUGUCUAGACUUACAUCUUCUUCAGAGGCUACUUCUUCCUCCCUUUCAUCCUUCACUUGUAGAUUUGGUGAUCUUGAAAACUUAUUGGAUUACACGGAAGAUUUGCUUCAACUACCACAUGUUCAACAAGCCAUUUCACUGAACAUUGAUGAAUUAUUAGAGGGGUACCUCAAGGUAUUAGACAUUUGUUCCACCAUCAAAGAUCUUUUGUCGAAUGAAAAACAAAACAGACAAGACCUUCUUUCAGCUCUUCGUAGAAGACGGAAUAUGGAUGACAUUUCUGGCUAUCUAACCUCUAGAAGAAAGUCCAAGAAGAUGAUCCAAAAAGUUGUUAAAAGUUUGAAGAGCAUGAUCAAGGAAAAUAACUUGGCAUCAAAAAAGCCUGAAACAUCGGCUAUUGUUGGAGAAUUGCAGGAUGUCCAGUUAGUCACUCUAGGACUAUUUAAGGGCUUCUUGUGCUAUGUCAAUGGAACAAGAUCUCAAUCAAGUAGUUGGUCCUUGUUGUCCAAGAUUAUGCUCUCAAAAGGUGAGGAAGUAGAAGCCAAUGAAUUUGACAAUGUUGAUGCUGCUUUGUGCUCACUUAUCAGUCACAACAAGACCAGCAAAUAUGAAGAAUUGACGAGUCAGUUGCGAGAGAUGGAGGUAACCAUUGAGGUUGUUGAAGAAGGGCUUGAAUGCUUUUUCAGGCGUUUAAUCAAAACCCGAGUGUCCCUCCUCAAUGUUUUGAAUCACUAGCAAGUCAAUAAUGGAUGUUGCCUAUCCAAAAGUUUUGUACUACAGUAACACAUGUACAUUUUUAUUAUAAUAUACAUCAAAAUGAAAUACAAGAUCAACUUCAUUUUUUUGCUGCUACAAAUAUCUCUCUUAUUGAAUACAAUGUCAAGUUCUGUUUCUGCUACUGCAACAGUUUAUCCCAUUUCUUGGAUUAAUAUAUUUAGAUGUUGAUUAAAUUGGAAAUCUAUUGUACUCAGUUAAAAUUAAUCUGCCUUGGCUAGUUUUACCAUAGGCUUUUCAACAUAAUUGGUUUGUACAUUAAAAAUGGUAGACCAACUGAGACUGUCAUUUCAUGUGUAGAGAGUUGACAAGAUUCUUUCUGUUGCAAACUUUUCGACAAUGUUCAGAUGCCUUUCUAUUUAAUUAGCAGUUCAAAUUGAGUUGUGUUUCUGGAUUUUUGAUCAAAAUCUUUGCGGAGUAUACGGAUCUAUAGAUGACAUAUAUAGCUGAAACAUCGCCUAAGUGAUAGCUUCACACAAAUCACUUGUCAUCAUGUGCGCACGGUUGCUUCCAUUAUUUGUAUAAAGUGCACGGGUGCCAUUUGUGCGUGUAGUUGUCAAGAUUCUUUUUGUCUCUACCAAGAAGAUCACCAAUGGCAAGACUAUAAUAUUUUGUGCAAGUUUGCAUUGACAAAUAAGCAAAAGAUUAUGUUGUUUAUCUUUCUGUGGAGGCAUUUGGUUGACAAGAUCCGUGAAAAUUGGCAACUCAAUCGUGCAAUGAUUUAAAAAUAAUACUCAUGUUUGUGUCAAGUCAAGACUAGUAUCUUGUGGCAGCUGGGGACAUAGCACAAACAUCAUCUAAUUGGUAGUUCCAUCCACAUCAGAGUUAUGUUACGCUAAUCGGUUCUCAUAAAUUGAAUCAAGUGCACGAGUGGCUUUUAUGACUUCAGAGUUGUCAAUAUUGUUUGUCUUGAACAAUAAGAUCACUCAUAAAGAUAAGAGUUCAUAAACACCCAACUUGCUAACAUGCCAUAGACAUCGCCUAGAAAAGCUAGUUGGUUGUUAGAUCUAGAUCAAAGUUAAAUCCUUUUAUAUAUUUCAAACAAGAGCAAGAGGAAGGAGCACAGCUUGAAAACUUAGAAUUGUUUAGACCUUCCAGUAUGGAAAAAAAACAAAUGGCCCCUUCACCUUUGAGACCAAAAACCAUCCUGAAGCAUGCUCGUUGUAGCAGCUUUCCCUCUUCAUCUCACCCAAUCGUGUCUCAAUUCAAUGAACACUUAUCUAGAGUAAAAUCAUCUUCUGAGGCUACCUCUUCCACCCUUUCGACAGAUUUGGUGAUCUUGAAAACUUAUUAGAUUACACGGAAGAUGUGAUUCAACUACCACACAUUCAACAAGCCAUUUCACAAGAUAAAUUGGAUGAAUUAUUAGAGGGGUACCUCAAGCUGUUGGACGUUUGUGCCAUCAUCAAAGAUCUCUUGUCGAAUGAAAAACAAAACAAACAAGGCCUUCUUUCAGCUCUUGGUAGAAGGAGGAACAUGAACAUGGAUGACAUCUCUAUCUACCAAACUUCUAGAAAGAAGUCCAAGAAGAUGAUCCAAAAGUUGCUUAAAGACUUGAAGAGUAGGAUGAAGGAAAAUGUCGAGAAGUUACCUUAAACAUUGGCAGUUGAAGGAGGUUCAGUUAGUCACUCUAGGCCUAUUUAAGUCCUUGUUGUCAUAUGUCAACUGAAACGGAUCUCAGUCAAGUAAUUGGUCAUUGUUGUCCAAGAAAAAUGAGGAAGUAGAAUCAUCCAAUGUUGAUGCUGCUUUGUGGUCUAAGACUGGUAAAUAUGAUGGAUUGCAGAAUCAGUUGUUGAAUGUUUUUUCAGGCGUUUACAGUCCAAAUGUUUCGAAUCAUCACUAGCUAGUCAAGAAUAGAUGUUACAGUCCAAAGGGGUAUUCAACAGUUUUGUACCACACUAAUACUUGUAAAUUCAUAUAAACCAAUACUCCACAAAAAUCAACUUCACUUUUUUUGCAGCUACAAAUAUCUCAACUUGUGUUUUUUUUCUACUACAGAGAUCAAAAUGAAUUAGAUUGCAAAAUAAGGAACGCAGCAGCAUAUCUUUUGGUUAUGCAAUUAAUUCAUUGUCUAGUGAUCAGAAUCACUUGCCUUUUGUGUAGAAAUUGAUUUAUAAUGUGAAUCAAAGAGUAUUUUUCUUAUUUCCUCAAGUAAGAACUGUCAUCUCCUGUAUUCAAAUUAGCAAAUAAGAAAUAAUAAAAGAUGAAAAGAAAAAACAAAGAACUAUCCGAGUCCACAGAACUCACUGUGUGUCCUUAAGAAAUUUAAUCCCCUCAAGUACUCGAGGUUGCAGAUUAAUUCCUUCCAAGAUAAAACGGAUUAACCAUUAAAGAAGUAGCGGUACCUCAAACUUCGAUAAUUUCAACGAACUCAAAAUGACAACAACGAAUCACACACAGACACGAUCGAUCGAUUUUGUUUUGUAAGAAAUGUAUGCAAAAGAAGGGAAGAAUUCGAUGCAGAAAAAUGAGAGAAAACCUCUCUAUUUAUAGCCAACAAAGGGUAAAGGUCACAACUCUUUGGAAGGAAGAUAAUCUUUCAGAAAGAUCACAACACUUUGGAAAAGACACAACCUUUCAAACGGUCACAACUCUUUAGAACACACUCUUUCAUAAAGGUCACAACCCUUUAGAACACAACAUUUCAUAAAGAUCACAACCCUUCAUGAGAGUCACAACCCUUCAUUUCUUGUUCACACCUUUAAAAUCCAACAAUCCCCCACAUGAAUAGGGAAUGACUAUUGUUAAAAUAUAUGCAUGAAAAACUGUAUGAUUCGUAAGUAAGGAUUGAUUGCAUCUGGAUAAGUGGGUUUCCCUUUAAACUUUCCAUAGUGAACAUAUAUCAGAUAUACUCGGUCAAUCGGUAGAUUUGAUAUCUUUGAACCGUCGAGCUUUGGUGAAUACCUAGACAACAUAAGUCACACAAUCAACCGUUGAGCUAUUUUUGGUUCUCAUUGUUUUGUUCGUUUCAGCCAUGAACAUGUCUUGGUUUAUAAGUGCGUAGAGAAUUGACCUUACCGAAUUCUCCUUGAAGCGGCUUACACUUCACACUUACAAUGGUGAUUUCUAAAUGUGUUAUCCCAUAGAUACACUAUUUGACAUACCCUGUAUCAAACUUAGAAACCAAUUAAAAAGUACAUAAUGCCUUUAUCCUUGUUACUGAACAUUGUCUUAUCUUGAGAAUGAACCAUAAAAAAAUAUUUUGACAAUGUUGAACCAUCAUCAAUGACUUUAUUUGAUCUCCUGAAACCUAGAUCUUGGGAUCUCUAGUCUUCUAGGUAGAGUUACCGCCACAAUGACUUGUCCUCGGCCAUAGUCUCAUUCCCUUUGGUAAUCUAUCAACUUCCUCUCUAGUUAGGCCUUUUGUAAAUGGAUCCGACACAUUAUCCUUUGACUUUACAUAGUCAAUUAUGAUAAUUCCACUAGAGAGCAGUUCUCUAACGAUAUUAUGUCUACGUCAUAUAUGACGAGACUUUCUGUUAUACAUUAUGCUCCAUGCCCUACCUAUUGCAAAUUAACUCUCACAAUGUAUGCAUACUGGAGCUAAAGGUUUGGGCCAAAAAUCUUUCAAGAAAGUUCGGAGUCAUCAACUUCAUCACCGGCCUUAUCUAGAAUUAUAAACUCAGAUUUCAUAGUAGAGUGAGCAAUACAUUUAUGUUUGGAAUAUUUCCUAGAGACUGUUCCUCCACCAAGAGUAAAUACAUAUCCAAUCGUGGCUUUUACUUUAUUUGACCUGGUGAUUUAAUUUGCAUCACUAUAUUCUUCCAAUACUAUUGAAUAUUAGUUAUAAUGCAAAACAAUCAUUUUUAAGUAUGUUUCAAAUACUCAAAAACUUUUUUUUUCAUUGUCAUCCAAUGAGUUUGAUUGAGAUUACUCGUGAACCGACUCAGUUUACUAAUAGCACAUGCUAUAUUUGAUCGCAUACAUUUCAUGAUAUAUAUCAUACUUCUCAAUACUCUAGCAUAAUCCAAUUGUGAGUCGCUUUUGCCUUCAUUCUUUUGAAGUACAAAACUCACAUUUAUUGGAGUCUUGACAAUAUUGAAAUCCAAAUACUUGAACUUGUCAAGUACCUUUUCAAUCACAUCAAUAACUUCAAUGUCUUUCAUCUCGAAGUUACUUCUAGUAAAUGCUUAGUAGCAUUUAUGUCAGAAAUGUCUCUUUUGAUGAUCAACAUGUCAUCAACAUAAAUACAAACAAUGACCCUGUGAUUUGGAGUGUCUUUAAUGUAAAGACAUUUAUCACAUUCAUUAAUCUUUGAAUUCAUUUGCCAACAUAGUUUGGUCAAACUUCGCAUGCCAUUAUUUGGGCGCUUGUUUUUAGUCCACAAAGUGACUUAACAAGUUUACAGACUUUUUUUUUUAUUAGGAACCACAAAGCCCUCAAGUUGUUCCAUGUAAAUUUCUUCCUCUAAUUCUUUCUUUAUUUAUUUUUAAAAAAAUGUUUUUACAUCCAUUUUGACGAAUUUGAAGGUCAUAUACCGCAACUAGCACAAUUAACAUCUAAAUAGAUGUAAUCCUAGUUAGUGGCUAUUAUAUGUCAAAAUAAUCAAUGCCUUCUUAUUGUCUAAAGCAUAUGACAACAAGUCUUGCUUUGUAUUUGUCAAUAGUUCCAUCAACUUUCUUUUCCUUUUGUAGAUCCACUUUGAACCCAAUAUUUCCUGGAGGAAGAUCAACCAACUCUCAAGUAUGGUUGCUCAAGAUUGAAUCUAUCUUACUAUUGACAACCUCUUUAAAAAAGGGAUGAGUCCAUAGAAGACAUAACUUCUUCGAAUAUAUGAGACUCAUUUUUCAAGAAGAAAUGUUACAAAAUCAAACCCAAAGGAAGUAAUUUGUCCAUUGACAUUUACUACGCCUAUGAAUCUCUUUAUUAAGUACAUUAUCAUUUGGUUCGUUACAAGGUAGUUUAGACCCUUCACUUGACUAUCUGACGGUUCGGACUUAUGAACCAUAAGUUGACAUGCUUUACAAUUUGUAACAUAUCCAAUGAGCAUACAAUCCACAGUCUUAGGUCCUAUUUUGAUCCGUUUGGGAAUAGUUUCAUCAUUUCCAUUUCUCAUAUGGAAUAGACUGUAUUUGAAAUUGUUAGAUCACUAUCUUUCAAGAGUUAUUGAUUGGAUAUACUUUAAGGGGUGACAAACAAUUCUUUAUCAGGAUACAACAAAGCUUCAAUAAACAAAACUUUUUGUUGCUCCCUUUCUUUACAAACAAAUUUUUUUUUUUUUAUUUGUUGCUCCCUUUAUUAACAAAUAAAACUUUUUGUUGUUCUUUUUUUGUUAUAAUGAUAGCACCCCACAAAUUUUGUGGUAAACCUGAACUUAUAAGUAGGACAUUCAACACUUCCUUCAAAGUUCGGUUUUUUCCCGUCAACAAUUUCAUUAGAUUGAUGUGAGUAUGUGCAGUAAUUUAAAGGAUGAUUCCAUUUUUCAAAUAUAUUUCUGCAAAAGAAGAUUCAUAUUCUCCACAUCUACCACUUCUAAUCAUGACAAUCUUUUUAUCCAACUGAUUUUCGACUUCAGUUUUAUAUUACAUAUACGUUUCUAUUGCUUCAUCCUUACAAUUCAGCAAAUAAACAUAACACUAUCUAGUGCAAUUGUCAAUAAAAUUUAUGAAACACUUUUUCCCAUCAAGAGAUAGUGUUGACUUCAUAUCACAAAUGUCAGUGUAAAUCAAUUUUAAAGGAUUAAAAUUCCUUUCAACAAAUUUAUAAGUAUGCUUAACAUACUUAGAUUCAACACAUACUUGACAUUUUGAUUUAUUGCACUAGAAGUUAGGCAAAAUUUCUAAGUUGAUCAGUUUUUGCAAGGUUUUGUAAUUGACAUGUCCUAAGCAUUCAUGUCACAAACAAUUUGAUUCAAGUAAGUAAGAACAAACAGAAAUAAUGAGUUUGAAAAGACCUUCCGUGAGGUAACUUUUUCCUACAAAUAUUUUGUUCUUUACUUUUUAUAACUUUGUCAAAUACAUACAUUAUUUUAGAGUCAGCACCUUGCCAGAUUUCCUUUGCAGAAGGACCUUUCCAUAACAUUCAAUUUGUUAUAGAAUUACCUAUGACCAUAGUCUCUUCGGUCCAAUAAGGGCAAUAUGACCCAAAUGUUUGUUUUACAACACAAACAUAACAGAUCACAUUUCACCAAUGUUCAUGUCUAUACAAAAAAAAUUNNNNNNNNNNNNNNNNNNNNNNNNNNNNNNNNNNNNNNNNNNNNNNNNNNNNNNNNNNNNNNNNNNNNNNNNNNNNNNNNNNNNNNNNNNNNNNNNNNNNNNNNNNNNNNNNNNNNNNNNNNNNNNNNNNNNNNNNNNNNNNNNNNNNNNNNNNNNNNNNNNNNNNNNNNNNNNNNNNNNNNNNNNNNNNNNNNNNNNNNNNNNNNNNNNNNNNNNNNNNNNNNNNNNNNNNNNNNNNNNNNNNNNNNNNNNNNNNNNNNNNNNNNNNNNNNNNNNNNNNNNNNNNNNNNNNNNNNNNNNNNNNNNNNNNNNNNNNNNNNNNNNNNNNNNNNNNNNNNNNNNNNNNNNNNNNNNNNNNNNNNNNNNNNNNNNNNNNNNNNNNNNNNNNNNNNNNNNNNNNNNNNNNNNNNNNNNNNNNNNNNNNNNNNNNNNNNNNNNNNNNNNNNNNNNNNNNNNNNNNNNNNNNNNNNNNNNNNNNNNNNNNNNNNNNNNNNNNNNNNNNNNNNNNNNNNNNNNNNNNNNNNNNNNNNNNNNNNAGACCACUUAGUAUUUAGAAUACUAACAAUAAAGAUUCAAUCUUUAUAUAACUUGUUUCUAGUUUAAUGAUGAAGGUUUUAUAUUCCUCUAAUCAUUAACCGAAUGAACCUUGAAUUCUGAUGGAGUUUUUUUAUUCUUCGAAUUAGUUUCACAUUCAGACAGAGUAGUAAAUAAAAAAAAAUCUUUUAAUCUCCAGAAACCUCAAAUACAACACUGCUAAAAUGAAGAUUUUAUCUUUUUCAAAUCAUUUAGCCUUAAUAUUCCUGACGAAGAUUUUGUACUCUUCAAGUCGGAAUAUGCAUUCAAACAGAGUAUUUAACAAAUUGGUGAAGUUUCUAUAUUCUUCGAACCAAUGCACAAUCUGAUUUGUUCGUGAAGUUCUUAUAUUUUUCAAACCAAAUGAGUAAAAAAAAAUCAGAAGAUUUUAGUCUCCAAAAGUCGAACAAAAUCAAAUUUUACAUGGAGUAGAAAACUACAAAAAAAUAAAUUCCCCCUCUAAACAGAAUACAUAUUAAUCAUAAUAAAGACAUAUUCUGAGAUCAUCACAUAAUGACCAUCUAUCCUAACAUUUAUGAAAUAAAUCUCAUAACUUAUAAAGGAUAGAAAAAGAAAAUAAUAAUCAAGGGAAAUAAAGAUAGAACCUGAUUUUUACUCUCAUUGAAUCAUAUUUUAUCUGUCAGCAAUGACUCCAUGCAAGUCACUUUUCUUGGUUUUUUUUUCUUUUCUCAGUAUCCAUCAUAUUCCUAUUUUCAUCAAGAAGACAUUUAAUUUCAACAAGAAACUAAACUCAUGUUCAAAUAUUGUUAGGAGACAACAUCUGUUCAUUUACUUCUUCUCAUAGUUAUAUAAAAUCAAGAAUAUAGGAAAAAUAAUUAAAGUGUUCAUCUUAGCCUUUAUGCACAAAAUAACUUUUCUCAUUGAAAGAAAACUGAAGUGGUGCAAUGCACUUGGGAAGAAAAUAAAAGAUAAUCUUAUCCAUCCAAGGAAAACUUACUACAAAAAAAAUAUACUCGAACAUAUUAAAGUAGUAUUAAUUCAUCCCAAAUCUCUUUUAUUAUAUAAUAAAAUAAUUCUCUUUUUUUUCCAACAAAAAGAACACAGAAAAUAAAAGUAAUUUCCUUACCACAGAAAAUACCAUCAAUAUUAAAUUUCUUAAGCUUGUUGUCUCAUGUAUUCAGAUUAGCAAACAAGAAAUAAUAAAAGAUGAAAAGAAAAAACAAAGAACUAUCUGAGUCCACAGAACUCGUUGUUUAACCAUUAAGGAAGUAGCGGUACCUCAAACUUCAAUAAUUUCAACGAACUCAAAAUGACAGCAACGAAUCACACACACAGACACGAUCGAUCGAUUUUAUUUUGUAAGAAAUGUAUGCAAGAGAAGAGAAGAAUUCGAUGCAGAAAAAUGAGAGAAAGUCUCUCUAUUUAUAGCCAACAAAGGGUAAAGGUACAACUCUUUGGAAAGAAGACAAUCUUUCAGAAAGUCACAACACUUUGGAAAAGACACAACUUUUCAAACGGUCACAAUCCUUUAGAACACAACAUUUUAUAAAGGUCACAACCCUUUAGAACACAACAUUUCAUAAAGGUCACAACCCUUCGGCAUAGUCACAACCCUUCAUUUCUGUUCACACCUUUAAAACCCAACAAGAACAUGCUUCUUAUCUUUAAUUGCAUAUAAAUGAAAUGUGGAACCCAUAGAUAGAAAAUGGAAUUUUUUAUUUUGUCAAGUUCAACUAAUUUUAUUUCUUCAUCUCUACAUAACAGUGAUUAUUAAGUUCUAUAGGUAUAUACUACUAUAUUAUUAUUUUUAUGAAUGAAAAAUUAUGAAAGGAAGAAUGUAAAACUAUAGAUAAUUGCAAUAUUAUUUUUAUAUUGCGCCUCCUGAAUUAUCAUGUAAAUUUCCAAAUAGUAAUAAGCUAGAAUGACCCAAAAGUAUCAUAACUCACCUUUGCCACGUAGGCACAAACCUUGGAGCGAGGCCGAGGGUUUAUUUCUUCUUCCUCCAGUAGUUGAUUCUGCUGCAGCCAUGAAGCUCCUCAGAACCCUCUCUGGUAGGUAUCACUCUUCUUCCUCAUUAUAUACUCACUGCUGUUCCAUCACCAUUUGAUUUAGGUGUUUUUUUUCUUUCUUUCUUUCAGGACCCAAAAAUCUACUCGUUCGAACUAUAGGGCAUCGAUACUUUGCGGCCACACCAGAAGAGUACGCCAACAGAAACUAUGCCAACAAUGAGUCUGAAUAUACCACUGUUAUUAACUCUAUUACUGCUCAGAGAAAGUAAUUUUCAUACUCCAAUUGAUUUGAGAUUAAGGGCAUACAUACAUGAUUUUGAUUCCAAUUAUUAUAUGAAUGAAUUAGGAAUUUCUUGUUGAGGGAUGUUUAUGAUGACAUGUUGCUCGAUGGAAUAAAGCCCGAGAGAGAUACAUUUCAUUCACUUCUUAUUGGAACCAUGAAAGGUGCUCGCUUGCAAGAUGCUUUCUUUUUCCGUGAAGAGAUGAAAGCUAUGGGCUUCGUACCUGAUGUAUCUAUCCUUUCCUUCCUACCAUAUCUUAUAUCAAUCUUUUUUCAGACCCCAUGUCUCCUGUAUUACUCACUUCUCAUAUUUGUAUAUUUGUGCUGCCUGAUUUAUAUGUAGCUCUAAAAUUAUAAUAACAAGGUUCUGCCAAUAUCACAGGUUUCUUUGUACAAUUUCUUGAUAUCUACCUGUGGAAAAUGCAAAAAUUCCGAACAAGCAAUAAGCGUAUUCAUCCUUACUCUGUCUUGCUGCUUUAUUAUUCUGAAAUUAUCAACAAUAAUAUGAUUCAUUGAAAUAACUAAUGUUGUUUUUCUUCUUUGUAAGUAGAUCUUGGAAGAAAUGAAGAGAUUUGAAGUCAAGCCUACAGGACAAACUUACAUCUGUCUCCUCAAUGCAUUUGCAAUGACUGGUCGGGUAGACAGAGUGUAAGAAAGUUGCUCAAUGGUUGCACCUGUAUCUAUUGCUAAUACACAUUUGGUCAUGCCUACAUGUGAAGGCAUAUGCUGUUGUACGAUUAAAUCCUUCAUGCAGUAGAUAAUCUGGAAUGCAGCAAAUUAUUUAGUAAUUAGCCAGACAUAACACCAUGAUAUGAUUAGAGUUCAUUUCACUGAAGAACAUCUCCUUACUCAGUGAAAUGAUAUUUGAUUAAUAUACUCUACUGGAUGUAGAGCCUUAAAUAUUUCCUGCUGUCAACUUCUUUGCGCUAAUUGUUGAUGUUUCAGUGUCAUAUUUCAUCCAAUCUUUCCAAACAUGAUGUUAUGUGGUUUAUUUUCUGUUGGAUUCAUAAUCUUUGUUUUCCUCUGGCAUCUGAUGGCUUCUUUUCCAACAUUGCAGGUAUGCAAUUGUUCGGGACAUGACUGCUGCUGGUCUUGGUCUGAAUAAAUUCUGCUAUGCUGGACUUAUAGCUGCUCACAAGAAUAAGGAACCUGUCACAGAUGAUGUAGCUUCCAAGGUGCGCAACAAGCGCGUCCAUGUGCUUUUACUAGUUUUCCAUUUUUUAUUAUAUUUUGACUUAUUUAAUUUUGUUUUUGUUAUUUUUUGGAGUAGAUUAUUGAGCUAGUUGAGCAGUCCAAGGGUUGGUCAGCAGUUGAAGCUCCUGGUGAUAUUCCUAUUAGGUCCAUGAUGGGCAUCUCUCAAGAAGAACUUUACAAUAUCCCAACUGCUGAAUAUGUUUACCGGCGUGGAUUUUUAGAUAAGGAAUUGACGGUUUAUCAUGUUGCAUUUCAUGCCUGUGCAGACCUAAAAAGUGUGGAGGUACCGUACUUGACAUCCACUAAAAGAUCAUUAGAUGUGAUUCAGUUUUGCUUUAUUAGAUAUGGUCCAAGUCUUUCUGUUAUUUUUUCCUGUCAAUUAUCCUGCCAUACACUUGGUAUUCAUUUAAUUUAGACGUUUCAAUUCAACAUGUUAUCUGCAGUAGGCUUCCCCCUCCCUGCCUCGGAUUCAAUAAGUAUCUUAAAUAACUGUGUUCUAAGUUGAGAACAGAUAAGAUAGAUCUAAUGUUGUCUAAUUAUUUGAAUGCGUAGUAAAUAUAAUACAUUCAAGCACAACAUUCAUUUAUUAAAAGGUCGCUUUGGAAUUUGUCUGGUCUAAUCUUUAUGUUGGAAGUCCUUUUGCAUAGAUGCUUUCUACGAGGGAAAAGAGAAGUGAAAUAAACAUUGAAGAUUAAAUUCAAUCUUUUGAAGAAAACCUUAGUAUGAUGUCACGAUGGAAUAUUUUCUUGAUAAGAAAACCCUUAGUAUAAUGUCAUGCACAUGUAAGUUUUAAUGAAAUCAGUGGAUCUUAAAUCUGUAAUAUAAGCAAUGUCAGUCUUGUUAGGGGAUCAGAUCAAGGUUGACGGUAUUAUUGUUUCUACUGCAGUAAAGUCAAUGAACACUUUGGUGAUCAAUUCUUUUCCAAUGUCUAUUUUCUUUGACAAGCAAACAAACAUUUCUUGAAACAGAAAAAAUCAGAAAAGUUGUGCUGUGAGUAAUGAGUUACAUCAGGAUCCUUUCGAAAGUGACAAUUUGCUUUUCUAUGUCUUGGGAGUGUAAACCAUAAGGAAUAUCAUGUGCUGGAGCCAUCCUUAGAGUACCUAAUAUUGCAUUUUCAUACCAUUUUGUGAUAUUUUCUUUUUUUUGAUAACCGUGGUGUUUAGACCACCUUAUGCACCUCGACUAAUUCCACAGGCACCUGGUACCUCUCAUCAGCACAGGUACCAGGUAACUCUACCAAGGCUUGAACAUAUAGGAAGAAAUCCUCUAGUGCUUUUGUCUUUGCUGGGAUUAAAGGUUGUGUUUUUUUUUAACAAAGGAUGAUUGCUAGGGUUGCAAGUUGGUGCUUUGAGUUUCUUUUGUGAAGGCAAGAUAGUAGUCCUUGAUAAGUUGGUCUAUCAUUAUUCAUUGUUGUCAGUGUAAGAACUAUAUUAAGCUUUGUUGCUUUAAAAUUUUCUCUCUCUCUCCAUUUUAGUUUUUAUGAAACAUGGCCAACCUAGAUGUGGGAAAUGGGGUCAGGAUAAAAUUUUGGACAGAUAUCCAGACCUGUUCAGAUGUUCUCUCAAAAAAGAGGGAUACAUUUCAGAAUUCUUUUCAAGUUCAUAGUCUUCAGGAGGAAUCUAAAUGAUUAGGAACUGGAAAUUUUUUGUCAGUUGCUUCAGCUGUUGGAAUCAGCGAGAAUUGAUCAGAAUAAAGAGGAUAACUUGAUUUGUGUCAGCAGCAAGGGUAAAAGGUUUCCAGUCAAAAUUGCUACAGUUUGAUACUUUCUGCUUUGGUUGGACAGCAGCAAUCGAGGCAUGUUUAACUCAAAACAAUAUGCAAUGAAGGGAUUUUUCUUUAUACAACAGCUUUUAUUUAUGUGAAAAAGAUCAUGAAGCUAUGGAGCAUUUACUAAUUCAGUGCAGCGUUUCUAAACAUUGUUGGGAGCUUUUUCUAAACAUUACUGGUAUUUCUUAGGUCAUGCCUCAGAAGAUCAUGUUUACUGGAAAGCUACCAAAGCCAAAGAGGCUCAAGAAAUAUGAAACAAAUAUGGAAGACUAUUCCCAUUUGUAUAUUAUGGACCACAUGGUUGGAAAAAAAUGGUGCAUGUUUUGAGGGGAAUAAAGUCACAUACCUAGAGUGGAAGAACCAAUGUUUGGAUAAUGUAUUUUUGCAUAAUAGUAGUAUGCUAGAGAUUAUGGACCAAUCCUUAGAUUUCUUGUAUCUGUUUGGUGAGAAUAUGUAGCUUUGUCUGGUUGGGAGGAUGCUUAGUCAUGUACUGCUUAUGUACCAUCUUGGUACUUUAUUAGUUAAAAAAAGUGUUUACCUUAUCAAAAAAAAUGGAACAUGGCCAACGUUAAUAAUUUGGCAAUUCUCUGUUUGAUCUUAUGUUUCUUCUUCAUGGCAGUCGAUCGAUGCACUUCAUGAAAUGCUUAUCAAGGAUGGUAAAACACCUGAUGUGUUCAUUUUGAUGCAAACCAUGAGGUAUUGUAUUAGAUCCUUCUCUCAACUGUUUAACUCAAUAAGUUGGUUAAAAUGGCUAUAGAGGGAGAGUAGAACUCUAGGAAGUAUUUAAGCAACUUGAAAAAAUCGUUGCUGUCUUGGCUUCCUAGUGUGAAAUAAACCUUAUCUGUGAAUUUAUUCAUUCUUUUUACUUUAAUAACAUCACCAGUUGUGCUGUCUUUGCUUCCCAGUGUUGUUUGCUUUAUGUCAUUUAAAUAUGUAAGCUGUGUUUUACUUCUAGAACAUAGCAUUAAGCUACUGCUGAACAUACAACUUUAUCAUGGCUCUGUGAACUGUUAUUUUGGGAUCUCCAGUUGAGUGUGAACCAUUAAACUUUGUUCACUAGAUGUUCCUUGCAUCAUUGGUUAGACAUACACUCUAACAAACAUUUUAAUGAGUCCAUUAUGCAUCCCAUGUACUCUGGGAAUCUGAGUGCAUAAUCCAAGAAACAAGUAACUGAAACUUCCCAAUAUAAUGGUAUUUCAAGUCUUAUAUGUGAAUGAGGAAGUGUCAACUACAGUUCUAGUCUAUCUUUGAUUCGUUGGAAAUUGGUUAGAGAAUUUUUCAUAGUCUAUAAUUCAUUUCUUUCGAUUUGCCUCCAUGUGUUUGUUUCUGUGUUUGUGCAGGUGUUAUCUUCAAUCUGGGGACCUACAACGUGGUCGGAAAAUUUUUGAGGACUACAUGAGUUCGGGAAAACCACCUAUGGUUGAAUUCUAUAUGGUAAGUUCCAAAAUACAUUUUAGCUGCAAUGUAGUCUAGUCUUGCCCCAGAAAGUUGGCUUUCCAUCACAACAUAACACCACCAUAUUUAGGACUUUGUACUCUAGUCUAUCUUCUGGCAGCUGUCAUCUUAACUCAUACAUGGUCUUUUUUAGUUAUUAGAUAAAGAACUCAUGCAUGAUCUCUUUAAGGAAUUUCUGCCAUGGCGGGGAGAGACAAUCUAGCAGAGCUUAUAGAAGUAAAUUAAAGUAGUUAAGUAGGAAACUUCUCCAAUCUGAUUCUCGUUUCAAUUUUUAUUUGGCUGUAGACACUUGUUGAGGGAGCAAUGGUCGGUUACACUCCUGAAGGGAUGCAACUCGCUCAAGAGACACUGGUAUGUUGUGUUUGACUGUUAUAGUGAUUUCACAUUAUGUCAGAGUGGAUUCCAUUUGAUAAAGUUUCUCAUUUGCGCAGGUAAAUAUGAGCUCCAGGAACUUCUUCCUGGAUCCUAAAAUGGGAAGUGAUCUCCUUCUUGCUGCUGCGGGUGAAAAGGUGGGAAAGCAGAAAAGGAGAAACUUUUAGCCCUUAACUUUAUCUUACAUUUAUCUUCUAUCAUCACAUAAUGUCGAGUUAUUUGAUAUUGUCUUUACACUUUGCAGACUGGUGGGUAUACUGUUGCCAAUCUGAUAUGGGACAUGAUGCAAGCUCGUAAAAUGACACCAUCAUUUCCUGGUGUUCAAGCAUAUUAUGAUGGCUUGAAGGUGAGUUUUCUUUACUUGCUGACAGAUCCAUUGGUUUCUUCCAUCACGCUAGAUAAGGGCAACACAGUUGUAUCUUGUCCAACUAAUUUUCCUGAUCACCGAUUAGGAUACAUUCGUAAGUAUAUUCAUGUCUAGUGGUUUGUCUGGCUGGAUCAGCAGUAAACUUUGUUCGCUUACAUUCUUGCAAUUUGAUCUUGUUGAAUGGGUUGAUAUAGAAUGGUGCAAAACCUGUAAGCUCUGAUCCACCAGGAAUAACUUCUUCAGCCAAUAUGCAUCUGGAAAUACGGCAUUUUCCUAUGGUGUAUGUGGUCAUAACUUUUGGUUAAUAUAUGUGCAUCUCAGGUUCGGGAGAUACCAGCUGAUGAUCCAAGACUGAAACUAGUUUCUCAAACCUACCUUAAUUUGAGAAAGAGGUUUGGUGGGUGAGGAUCCGGUACGGAGCUGGACGAUCGUAGACAGAAGACUGAAGCCAUGCAGUAGCUACGUUUCCCUGAACCAUUGGGUUCUUUUGUACCCUAGAAUGUCUGCCUUUUUCCUUCUAUUCCAUAAAAUUUGGCCUAUUUGCUCAUGUACCCAGGUCGAGCAGAUACACAGAUUAAUUGACAUUGUUAAGGAGGUAAUGAGAUUUACUCUCAAUCUGCGACUGCUAGUCACAUUUUUUCUCGACUACAUAAUGCCGCCUCAAGGAUGUAUCAAGUCUUUCACAAGUAUUUUUUUCUGAAUUUAUAAUUUUUAGAUUAAAGUAAAAUUUAUACAUUUAAAUGUUGAGUGUUAAUCAUUUAGACAACCUCUUAAUAUUCAGAUUUAGACUAUGCAUCUUAAUAUUCAGAUUUAGACUAUGCAUCUUAAUAUUGAGAUAGAUAUAUGAUGUUUGUUUAACUAUAACUCGAACUUCUUUUUGUUUUUGGGUUUGUUACUGCUAUAUUAGCAGGAAAUUAUAAUGUAAGCAAUAAAAGAAGUAAUGUCUAAUGUUCUGAUGGACUAGUGACGAAAAACAAAUUCAUAGAUAGCUAAAUAAUGGCGCCUCUCCAAAGAAAAUAUCCCAUCCAUGAAUAUUAGUACUACAUAACAAAAACUAGAUUUCAAAAGAUGGAACACGGCCGCCUCUUCUGCCGGUAAAAAUGAUGGUUUGUUAGGACACAAAUCUAUUUUGUUAGGGCACAAAUCAGUGACAGACUCAUAUUCCAAAGUUCUAAGGAGAAGUGCAUAAUUACUCAUUUUUGCGGUUGUCAUUCAAUUAGUAUCCCUGUUUUUGAUUGAGAUGUAUACAAAAAAAUGGUUCAACUUUCUCUUAGGUAUGUCUGAAUCUCACAUGUGCGUUUCAACAAACAAAUAAUAAAUUCUUUUUUCAAUUUACCCCAAAUAAACUCAAAUUUGAAACAUAGAACCAUGUAUUAUAAAGAACAAACUUCAAUCAUUAAUACACAUAUAAAAAAUUAUUAAAAUUACAAUCAUAUAUAUCUGCAGAAUCAGAUGAAAACAUAAUACAUUAUUACUUAAAUAGUGUGACAAAAAUAAAAUAUCACAUGAAAUUCUUACAGAAUUCAAUCAUAUUGAGUCUAUUGCUUUGAUAAGUUUGACCAUUUAAAUUCAAAUUUGUGUAAGCCUCAUUCUUCAUAUUAAUAUCUAGUAGCGGGACAUGUGAGUUAUAUUGAGUGUAUUGUUUUGAUAAGUUAGACCAUUUAAAUUCAAAUAUGUAUUAGUCUCACUAUUCAUGUUAAUAUCUAAUAUCGGGACAGUUAAGUUUAUAAUUGAAAUUAUUCUAGAGAAUUUCAUUUCACUAGUUAUACUAUCAUCUCCUCUUCUUUUUAUUAUUCUCUUCUCUAUUGACAGUCGUCAGUCCUAUCUGAAUUUAAAAAAUAUUGGUAAUUAAUUAUAAUUUAAUAAUUAAUUUUUUUUCAAUUGACAUAUAAUAUUUUGUAAGACAAGAAUAAACAUAUAUAAAUUAGUGUCUGUUAUCUAACAAUACAAAUGUUUAGAUCCCUUUUAUUGAUUAUAGUUUUGAAAUAUUUCUCAAUAGAGUCAAUUAUUACUUAAACUAUCAAAAUUAUUCUAAAAGUAUUUAAAAUUAAGAUUUCACUUGAUUGAAUAUGCCCAUCAGAUAUCAGAUUUUACUUAUAUAAUAUGUUCUAUUAGUUUUAUUUACAAAAAUCAAUAGCAUAGUGAUUGUUACCUCUUUAGAAGACAUUCAAAGUUAAAAGACAAUAUUUUUAAAAAUUUAACUAGUUGAUAAUAUAAUUAGUUUGAGUUUGAAAUGUCUAAUAAAACAUCUCAAAGAAUGGAAGAUAAUCUUACAAAGCCAAUAUUAAAACAUGGUUGUUUCAAAUUAAAAUAAAUUAGACAAAUUAAGAAAUGGAAAGUAACUGUAAAUUUAAUUACUUACAAUUUCAAACAUAUGUACUUAAUAAUUAGUAAGAAAUUACUAAUAAUUAAGAAAAUUUUAAUUUAUAGUAACAAUAAAUAGAAUAGUUUUUUUAUACUAUUCCAAAUGUGGUAUGGCUUGAUACGGCGCUUGUGACAAUUAACAUUCUACAUCGCCUUCAGCAGAGCUGGUCGUCUCUUUAGGUAUGUAUGUAUCUCCUUCAUCUUUUGUCUCAGUGCUUUUGGUUCUCCUUGCUCGAAUUUAUCUUCGGAUUCGGAUGUAUAUAUAUGUUUGAGCUUCCUGAAUUUGGGGAUUUGAUUUGUAAUUUUGUGGCUUAGGGUUUCAACUGUCCUUAUGGUUAAUUUUAUGAUUGCUAAUAUACAUUGGAAAUUAUUCUUUUAGCUUUGACGGACAAAUUCCACUAUAGGACAAGCACAGGUUUUCUCCUUUUCGUUAGAUGGGUGAGAAAGAUUUGGAAAUUGAGGAAACAAGUCCAGCAUGUGGAGAAGAUGAAGCUAAAACACAAGUGCGAAAAGUUAAAAAGAAGAAGAAGAAGGUGAAGGCGGAAAAGCGUGGAGUUUGUCACGUAAGUAGAGUACCGCCUCGUAUGGACCACGUGAAACUUCGCCAGGUUCUUUCUCAGUUUGGAGAAAUUCAGAGAAUAUAUCUUGUACCUGAAGGUUUGUUGAGUUCCUUGUUUAUAAACACUUCACCUUGGUUGUCUUUACUAAUUUGCCUUGCAUACAACUGCUGCUGCUCAAAUGAAUCGGAAACGGGCAGGUGGAUUCCGAGGGCAAGCAUUUUCAGAAGGGUAUGCUUAUGUUGAAGUUUCUGUCAACUGAAAUCAGAUUAUCUAUUAUUUAGCAUGAAUUGUAUCUUGCAUCUGCAUGAUUAUAACUUUUUUUUUACCGAAAGUAAUUAAACUAUCAUUUAUAUCUGUAGGUGGGUUGAGUUUGCGAAAAAGAGUGUUGCCAAAAGAGUCGCAAAUAUGUUGAAUGGUCAACAGAUGGGUAAAGUAACAUAUUUUCUUAGCAGUGCCUUCCUUUUCUUCUUGAUUCUUUUCCAGUUAAAGGAAUUCUAUUUAGAUUUUAGACAUUCAGGCUAUUUACAUAGCUAGUUAUUGUGCUUAUUACACAUUUUUAGGGGACACCAAUUAUUCAGAUACUAGCCAAAAUUUGGCUUCUAUUAGGAUUAGACUAACAUUGUUUUGUUGCAUUACGCCAUUUGUGUCAUAACAAUGUAAUUUGAUUAACCCCCAAGGCCUAGCUCUAGUGGCAAAAGGUGGAGAAUUUGUGGCUUAGGUCACAGGUUCAAGCCCCACACCAUGCAAAACGAAUCCCAGUAUUUAAGUAGAGAAGGGUAGAGGGGCGGGCCCAUUAUCCACCGAGUUUAGAAGGUUGUGAUUGGUCCAAAGGGCGGCAGGUCACAAAUAUAUUUCUCGGUUAUCAAAAAUAACAAUGUAAUUUGAUUAUCUUUGUUUAUAUUCUUCCGAUUCAGCGUUCAACUCCUGUUUUUCUUGUAUUUUCAGUGACCUUGAGAGGUUAUUGACUUUACUGUCAAAUUUCUAUUUGACAGGUGGAAGGAAAAGGUCAUCAUUCUAUUAUGACAUUUGGAAUGUCAAGUACUUGUCUAAAAUUAAAUGGGAUGAUGUUACUGAUGAAAUUGGUAUGCUGUUAUUUUUUUAUUUAUUGGGUACUGAUGCAUUCUUCGAUCUCCAUUCACUUCUUAAUUGAUGUCUUAAAACAUUUUGCAGCACAAAGGCAUGCAGUUCGUGAGCAGAAACUAGCUUUGGAGCUUUCUGCUGCAAAGAGGGAGCGUGAUUUCUACCUUACACAAGUUGAUAAAUCUCGUGCUUCAAGUUCUAUUGAAGAACGAAUGAAGAAGGUCAGUGAUACAAUAUUUAAUUAAUUAUUUAGCAUGGAAGUAGUUGUUAAGCAGCAUGUUUUGAACUCCCUCGAUUGACUUUCUCAUUUACCAUCUCAUUUUGAGUUUUUAUUCUUUAAAUAGUAGUUACAACAUGAGACAGCUCUAGUUUUUCGUCGAUAAGCUCUGAUGUGAUAUUAAAAGAUGUCUCUUUAAGCAAAACUAAAAAAUAUAUAUAGAUGUUGGUUUGUGUGUAAAAUAGAAAAAGUCUCUUUUCCUCGCUCCAAAUUAUUAUUACUUAGUAAUGUAUUAUAGCCAGGUUUAGUUUAGGUAUUCGACCACUCAGUUUCAUAUUACCUUAUAUCUUGCACAACUGAGUAAUAUAGUAUAGAUAAUACUUUUUAACUGUUCCAUCUUUACAGAAGCAAAAGGUGCAACAGGAAUUUGGGGUAAUUUCUGAUUUCCCAAGUGAUCAGUUUGCACCACAGGUGAUACGACAAUUUCCCAGAAAAAACCUGUGGCAGAUCAAGCUGGGAAAAUCAAGCCUAGUUUGUCUAAGGACGUUUUGGCCGGAGUAAGUUCCAUUUCCCUUAUUCCCUGCCCUGGUGAAAGAGGAAAAUAAAAGACUUGCUAAUGUUCUGAUGGAAGCUGCUCUUCAUUUUGUACAGGUAUUUGGUGGUCAAUGACAAGGGCGUACGGGUGCAAACAUUUCAGAAAUUGUGCUUGCCAAUUUUUUCAACCACACAUUUGAUUUUGUUGCCUUCAAAAAGUUCAUCUCGACGGUUAAUAGAUGUUGGAAUUUUAAGUACUACUGUUCUUAAACUGCUUAGGACUUCACUAUUGUGCAGUCAGUCUAUGAGACGUAUUGAGCUUUAUAUGUCCUUACCUCGAACCAAACUUUGAUUAAAUACUCAAAACGUGGAUCAACUUGGCAAAGCUAACCAUCUCAAGGCAAAAUGUCUUGGCUACUUUUCCCAAAUGCCUUUCAAGAUAAUUUUAGUUUGCAAAUUAAAAUUUUAGAGCAAGGAUAUGUUCCAUGUGUGUAAAAGGUACCUUUUUUUUUUGGUCUCAAACCUUUGGAUUGAUACCACCAACUUAAAUUGUAUAGAUUUAUAGUAAUUUUUUUACUGGCCGUACUUACCCCAUAAUCACCUUUUAGGAAUUUGGGAUUCUAAUAGUAUAUGUGAGGUAUUUAAGUUGCUUAAGAAGAUUUUACCAUAAAAAUGUCGUUUAAGAAAAGACAUGCAAGGUUUCGUAGACGUGUGCUUCUAAAGAUUUACAUAUAUGAGAUGUUGCACCCCAUGAGAGAAUUAUGAUUAAUCUCUAGAAAUUAUCCAUCUAUAUGAAGAGAUUACCCCAAAAGGUUACCCCAAAAGGUUCUACUUGAAGAUAUCACAAACUAAUAAAUUGUGACAUACAUUACAUGAUAAAAGCACUGGAAAAAGAGAUAUAUCAUUAAUCAAUGUUCUGGAUAGCGAAAAGAAUGUGAUGUUACAGUACUAAUAUGACUUAAACAAGAAAGAAUAGGAAUUUAAUUUGUAUCCCUAUGUCUACUCAAACUGAAUCAAUCUAUAAUUUUAUUAAAUAUUCUCUGUGUGUGUGUAUUCACACGAAUUGUUACAGUUAAGAAGAAGAGAAAAAAAAAACUAAUUAAGUUUUCCAACUUCCAUCAUCACAUGGGGAACAACCCUCUUGAGCAAUGUCAGUGAUUUGAACUCCAGUAUCAUAAAUCACCCCCAUUUUCCAAUCUGAUGGCAGCACUGAUUUAGCCCAAAUCCACUUGCCAUCGUACCCUGCUGUCACCACAAACCUAAAUUGCAAUGCCCCACUUGGCACUCUGCUUGUGUCCCAAAUUGCUCCGUGGUUUCGGGUCAAGAAGUUCCAGUUCGACGAUCCAACCUAAAACAUGUUAACACAUUUAUUAAUUCAUCACUAUAAAUCAAGAUGGAAAAGUGAAAGUAGUUUUUUUUUUUUUUUACCUGAGCAACAUCAACACUGACAAUUUCAGUUUGACCACCCUGGUAGAAGAUGCUAAUUGCUAGGUAAUAUGGCUUCUGGCUUGAUUCAUCUACUCGAACAGCCAAAUUCUUGCCUUUGUAAUCACAAGGAACUCUGUUCCCAUACACACAAAUAAAACAAUGUUAGUACUACAGUAAUUUGCAGCAUAACCUUUCAUUCCAAGCGCUUAUCCAUUUGAUUAAUUUACUAAAUAACACGUAUGCACAUAUCAUUUAUGUUCAAUUGUCUGGUCAAGUGGGGCAUGUAAGAUGCCCCUUUAUGUCAAAUUCUACAACUAUUUUUUUAAUUUUUUUUGGUAGUUGCAACGAAACCACCAAAGAUUAACAUUAACACAGUGUGUGCUGACAAGAAGACAAGGAACAUAAAAUUCGUAUAGUAGGCUCCCUCAAUAAUUUUAUAAACUCAUACCUAUCCAUUUUUGUAACGUGGACAAAAUUAUUUUGUUAACAUUUACCUUUUGUAUUCAACAUCGGCGAUUCCCAAUUUGAGAACGUCUUUAGCUUUUCCCUCAAUGGCCAUAGCCAUAAAAGCUCUGCUACUGAUCACAAAAUCAGUCUGGUUAUUCGUAUUUAGAUCAGUAACCAUUACAGUUGUUCCAUGUUUUGAACAAAUUUUUGGGUCCUUACAUCUUAUCUGUAAAUCACACAAAUUAUUUAUGAGAAAUUUAAUUAUUCAAAAUUAAUUGUUAUUAAUGGAGAACGAGAACUCAAUUAACCUGAUAACAAGCACCACAUCCAGCACCAUUAUUGUAAAGUUUAGGAACAGCAGCGGCAAGUCGACCUCCAUUGAAGCCUAUUGCUAAAUUUCCAUAACCACACGCACCCGCUACAAAUACAAAAAUAUUGGAAAUUGAAAAUUAGAUUAAGAAAAAACAAAAGCAUGUUAGUUAAAAUUAGAUAAGUAAUUAAAAGAGGUGCCUUACAGAGAAGAGCAGAAGCACUGGAAAAAUAAGCAACUUUGGAUUGGUGAACACAGCGAUCGCAGGCUAUAACAGAAGAGACAAAAAGAAGGAAGACAAGGAAGAAGAGAGACAUUUUUUUGUUUAAAGGAUUUGAUUUGAAGAAUGAAUUGUUUUGAGUGAGUAAAUGGUGAGUGAUAAGGCCUUUAUAUAAUAACUUUGAGAUAGUGGGGAAAUGAAGGUGGGGUUAAUUAAUGGGUGCACUGAACUAUUUUUUUAUUUUUAUUUUUGUUGUUAAAGUAAACGAGUAAAUAAGCGCAAAACAUAUAUGAUGGAAUAAAAGGAAUGCGAUACACGGUGAUUUAUGAAAUCUAGAUUAAAAUGAAAGAAAUAAUGAUAAAUUACUCUCGGUGUGUUGUGACUUUUCAUAAUGGAAGAGUUGUGAUUUUUUUUUUUUGAAGGAACGUGAUUUUUUAUGUUGAAGAGUUGCAACUUUUUAAAGGGUUGUGACUUUUUAUGUCGAAGAGUUAUGUCUUUUUUGAAGGAUUGUGACUUUUUAUGUUGAAGUGUUGUGACUUUUGUAAAGGAUUGUAACUAUUUAUGCUGAAGAGUUGCAACUUUUUUCGAAUGAUUGUGACUUUUAAUAUUGAAGAGUUUGUGACUUUUUUGUAAGAUAGUAACUUUUUUCUAAAUGGUUAUGACUUCUCUAAUAAGGCACCAUAAAUACCUAUCCAUACUAAACUUUGUUGGACAUAAAUAAAAGGAUUUUAUUAUAUUUUUCAAACAAAAUUUUCUGAUCUUUUACUCUUCUUCUUUUUGCACUUAAAUAAAAGAAUUCUCUUGUGAAUUAUUGUUGUUGGGUGAGUUCGUUGUUCAUCAGAAUAUGAGGUAUCAAGUGAAGUAUUAUGUCAUGCGGGUAUAUAUUUUAUCACCUUUGUUACUGUUUGAUUGUUCUUCAUGAAUAAUUUUGGGACAGAAUAAUUUUUUUUCUUAUUUAUUAAACACUAAUUUUUUUUUACCUAUUUUUCACAUAAAAUAUAAUUUUUCUUCCCCCAAACAUAUCCUUAUUAUGGAUUGAAAGAGAAAUAGUGGAGAUGGGGACAGUUUGACAUUUGACGCCGACCAGCUGCUAUGCAACAUUUACAGCUGUGCGUGAAAACCCACUAAUCGCCACUCCGCAUUUUACUAGUUUGUAUUUGUAUUGCGCCUGCCCCCUUUUUUUCCCCUUUAGAGUCCCACAUUGUAGUUAUUGAAUUGUGUAUGCGUUUUAUCUAAAAGUUUAAAUAGGUUAGGGGAUUAUAUUUUUAUUUUACUUCUUAUAGGUUUUUAAUAAUUUUAUUUGUGUAAAGCUUGCUCAUAUUGCAAAUUUUAAGUAUGAAAGUUUAGUUACGAUGAAUUCUCACAAUAUAAAAUGUAUUGUUGGAAUAUUAGUUGUUUAUUAAAAAAAAUCGUCAUUUUAUUUAACAAUAGAAUUUAUAAAAGAAAUUGAAGGCAAAUGUUAUGACGAACUAACAAAGUGGAUGAAGAAUGUAAUUUUUCCAAACGAAAGUGAUGAGAAUAACCAACAUCUCUUAAUUUUGCCCCAUAUUUAGUCGAUUUUAAUUUGAUUGUUUAUUUAUUUUAUUUUUCUCAAGCAUAUAAAAUUGUGUGAAUCGCCUUAUAUAAUGUAACGACAUUAUACGUGAAAGUCAUAUGUAGUCAUUUGAAAGUAUUUAUUCUUGUUUUGAUUAGAAGAAAAAAGAUGUAGAGAAAGUAAAGGGUGAAACAAUUUGGCUAUAUUUGUGUAUUUGCGCGUUUCUCCUAAAAAGUGAGGAAAAAAAUUGGCCCACAUUUACUUGUUAUGACGACUUUCUUUGUCAUGUUGGAAUUUAGAUUACUUGCCUCCACAAAGGAACAAAAAGAAUUAGUUGUACUAUGCAAAUUAACAUGUAUUCUUUUCUUAAAUAAGAGAUAUUCCAAAGAUGAAAGCUAAGAACACCAAGUCUAAUAGAAAGUUACUUUUAGAGGUUACGUAAUAAAAUAAUAAUACUAAAUGAUAUUUUGCUUCAAAGUAAGUAGGUGUACAGAUAGGAUCACCAUCUUUAUCGUAAAACAAACAUAAUAGCCAACAGCUUGCUUUUGGACCCCUUUCUUGCUCUUUGGUUACAUUAUUUCUUUUGAAGACUUAAAGUAAAGGGACUUUGUGUAGAAGAAUAUUUCAAACUUUAAUAAAUUUCAAUUUCAAUUGUAUUUAGUGUUACGGCUGAAUUGAUUGAGCAAGUCCUGAGUUCGAUAUCACUUGCAUGUGUUUCUUAUGUCAUGGGACUUGUCUAGUGUGGUUUACGGGCUAUGACAAAGACGAUUCCUUGUUUUAAAACAUCAAAUUAAUUUGUUGAGACAUACUUACUAUUUUAAAGUUGAGGAUUCAUGAAUGCAACAUGUAACCAAGUUGGUUGGCAUGAAGAAACAAGACAAAAACAGGGUAAGGGAAGAAAGAAUCCAAAAAUUGGAAGGGCCACAAAUUAAUUGGUUUUCAAAAGUAAACCAACGCUAAGGCCAGCUAUAUCCUUUAUGUUUUCUUGAAGUCUAAAUCCUCUGCCUUCCUGUUCAUACCUUGACUUGAUUAUUAAUAUUGGACUAUCAAUGAAAUUGGAAAUUACUCCCUCCAUUUCACAAAGAAUGACCUGGUUUGACUUGGCACGGAGUUUAAGUAAAUAAAAAAGACUUUUGAAUCUUGUGGUCCUAAAUUAAAGUUAUAUCAAAUGUACAAAAUUGCCCUUAAUCCUGUGGUCUUAAACAUGCCACGUGGAAAGCAAAAAGUAGAAUGUUACCAAAAAAGGAAAUAGGUCAUUCUUUUUGAAACUGACUAAAAAGGAAAGGAGGUCAUUCUUUGUGAAACGGAGGGAGUAACAUUUUUGGUUUCAUAAACUAUUGGUAAAUUCUGUUUUUAAUUCUUGUGGUAUAUGAUUCGGUAUCUCUUUGAUCUUCCAUUAGUGUGUUUAGUCACUCAUAUAUAUCGUGGGGACUAAAAACUUAAUAAUGAAACAAAACCAAAUUACUUAACUUAUACAUGAAAGAAUUUUUAUUGACGACUAAAUUACUCCCUCCGUUUCACAAAGAAUGACCUGGUUUGACUUGGCACGGAGUUUAAGUAAAUAAAGAAGACUUUUGAAUCUUGUGGUCCUAAAUUAAAGUUAUAUCAAAUGUACAAAAUUGCCCUUAAUCCUGUGGUCUUAAACAUGCCACGUGGAAAGCAAAAAGUAGAAUGUUACCAAAAAAGGAAAUAGGUCAUUCUUUUUGAAACUGACUAAAAAGGAAAGGAGGUCAUUCUUUGUGAAACGGAGGGAGUAACAUUUUUGGUUUCAUAAACUAUUGGUAAAUUCUGUUUUUAAUUCUUGUGGUAUAUGAUUCGGUAUCUCUUUGAUCUUCCAUUAGUGUGUUUAGUCACUCAUAUAUAUCGUGGGGACUAAAAACUUAAUAAUGAAACAAAACCAAAUUACUUAACUUAUACAUGAAAGAAUUUUUAUUGACGACUAAAAUACAAUUAUCAAGUUCAACUAAGAUACGAUUACACAUAAUCAUCCAGAAAAAAAAACGAAAAUAAAAUAUUUUAACAACAUUUUAUAUAUUAAAAUACACUAAUCUUAUAAAAAAUCUUUAAAUAUUAUUGAUGUAUAUAAGCUAAAAUCCAUUCAUAUACCACCAAAAUGAGCCACUUCAAAUUAAAUUCCCAAGGAUUUAUUCUCAGAAACAUAUAUUUCAGCAAUGGCGCAGCCUACCUUGACCAAUGGCAUCAUCUUCUUUUAAGAAAAUCUUGACUUUUUACCUUCAAAUCAGAAUUUAAUUUAGCAGAGUUCAAAAAACCAGGGAUUGACCUAGGGCCACGUAUAAACACAAAAACCCAUUAAAUAAGCCACCACAAGUCAAAUGCUACAAGCUGUUUCCCAUGUCUAUCCCGCUUGCUGUAAGUAUGCAUGAUAGAGUUUAAAGAAGUCAAUGCUCCUCAUAUUUCUGUUUGAAUGACACUAAGAAUGCUCAUGUAAAACUGGCAGGAAAUGGUAGAUUUCCUAAUGGAUUUUUGGGAGCUGGAAGGACUGUACGAUUGACAUGUUUGUAAGUAAAGGAUUAUUUUAUCGAUGAAUGAUGAACAGUCAAGUAGUGACAGACACUUAGAUAGGCUGAUGUAAAUUUGAUUUGCUUCGUGACUGGGAAGGUAGGAGGUUACUAAUGGAGUUUCUCUAAUGAAAUGUAAUUAACUUCUGGCAAAUUGAAACAUUUUGUACUGAUAAAGGCGUGUUUAGACAAGAAUUAAUUGAUAUUUUAAAGAAAAUAUUUGCAAGUUGAGAUUGUGUUUGAAUAUGUUUAUACAUACUAUUUGAUAUUUGAGUUUUUCUGAGUGAAAACUUGUCUGUACAACAAAAUCAACAGAUAUAUGUCCUUUAGAAUCUUUCAUGGUGUGAAAUGACACGACCUUUUCCAGAAAAAGCUAAUACAGUUAAUAAUUGUCCUUUAAGCCUGCUUGUAUAGUCUUGUAUGUGAAAUAGUUGCUACUCCCUCCGUCCCUAUUUACUUGUCCAUAUUUCCUUUUUUGGUUGUCCCUAUUUAGUUGUCCAUUUUGACAAAUCAAGAAAGGACAAAAAAAUUUUCCUAUGAUACCCUUAUUUACACUUCUUGAAAAUUGUAAAAGUGUAUGUUGUUUCCCUCCAAUUUAUUUCACUUGAAUUCAAAUAAGUGGUUGUAAUUUUGAAGUGAAAAGUUGUCAUAAGGGUAAAAUUGUAACUUCACUGUGCUAAUCAUUGUUGCCUUAAUCUGUGUGUCAUUUCUAAAGUGGACAACUAAAAAGGGACGGAGGGAGUACUACUUAAACAUAUUCACCGUUUAUUUUUAUUUAUCUACUAAAUAAAAAUAAAUUUUGAAUUUUAUUUUACCCACUUAGUACCAUAUUAUUUUUCAUGUGUCAUCUUUCUUAAUUGUUUAUUUCACAAAUCCAUUAAGAGUAAACACCAAUUAAUAUGCUCAUUCAUAAGGGAGUGAGUGCAAAGUCUAAAAUUGAAUAGAGGAAGGAUUCAAUAUAAUGGGCACAUGACAUUAGCAACAUUGAAGAUUGAGCUUAGCUAGUGUUCAUGACAAACCAUUAAUAGUUGCAGAUAUAUGCUUCUCAUGUGAAGUACAAGAAUGGUUCUCUUUGCUGUCCUGUCCAGCCUCAACGGCUAGUGCCACCACCCCAGCAUCACAUAAUUUUAUAAUACUUACUAAAUACCAACUCUAAUAUAUUCUCCAGGAAAUCAUGAUCGAUUGACAAAAUAAUCAAAUCUCAUCUUUGGAGAUUUUUUCAGCACAUCUCAGUAGCUUCGAGUCCGCACUCUGUAUGUGUUGCAAAAUGUACAAAUCCAAUUAACUCCAAUGAGUUUAGCGGCAUUCCGAAAUUUAUAAAGUUCAAAUUCUGAAUCCAUCUCUACACUACAUUGUGGCAGAGAAACAGAUGGACCUUUCAAACACAAAGAAAAGAAAAAAAAUUCAUGUAUAGAACUAUUUCCAUACGGGUCCAAAUUGAUCAUCAUUACAAUGACAGUUUAAGCAAUCAUUGUAAAAUCAUUUGUACCAAGAUAAUAUGAAGUUUCUGCAACUGUAUUGGUUGAUGCUGUGUAUAGAACCCCAUUUACAACACUCCCUCCUCUCCUACCUUGAGCAGCUAACCACACAAAUGAGAAAGAAAAACCAAGGAGCAAAUAAAAGAAAGGAGAGAAUCUGAACUAGUUGUGUGGAAAUGUUGUGAUGGAAGCAGACGUCUUGCAUCAUAUGUGGCAAGAGAUACUUACUUCAAAGAUCAAUAAAUAAGGACUUCAAUUCUGCUUCACCAACUGAUAACUCAUGAUGCUACCAUUAGGCAUCAUUUUUCAAGCAGAUUUUUAAGCUGUUCACGAGCUUCUUCAAGAGCACCUAGCAAGUUCUCUGGCUUCCUCCCACCUGCCUGAGCGAAAUUAGGCCGACCACCCCCUCCUCCACCACAUGAUUUAGCUAGAGGCUUUAUAACUUCACCAGCUUUAAUUCCAAGAUUAACAACUCCUGGUGUUAGAGCAACAACAAGGCUAACUUUUCCUUCUCCUGGGCAUGAUCCUAGAACCACAGCUGCUGGAUCCUUCAAAGAAUCCACCAGAUAUUCUGCAGCACUCUUGAGUGAAUCGGCAUCUAUAUCAUCCAUGGACUCAACUAGGAGCCUGGAAAAUAUCAAUUGUAACAAGUUAGAAGAAUCAGAAUGUUGUUACUUAUUCACGACAUUUAAGCACAUAAACAAAAAAAGAUAAAGCAGUAGAAGACGUUUCAUCUACUUAUUUAGU
rnacentral:lncRNA from 1 species